GUGCCUACGGACGCAGCAGUGAGGAAUAUUGGUCAAUGGCCGAGAGGCUGAACCAGCCAAGUCGCGUGAGGGAAGACGGCCCUACGGGUUGUAAACCUCUUUUGUCGGGGAGCGAAGCGAGUCACGUGUGACUCAUUGAGAGUACCCGAAGAAAAAGCAUCGGCUAACUCCGUGCCAGCAGCCGCGGUAAUACGGAGGGUGCGAGCGUUAUCCGGAUUUAUUGGGUUUAAAGGGUGCGCAGGCGGAGGUGCAAGUCAGCGGUCAAAUUGCGGGGCUCAACCCCGUACUGCCGUUGAAACUGCAUC
rnacentral:rRNA from 1 species